GACAAGUGUUCUCUGGAAAGAACUCUGUACUCUGGUAAGCUCCGCCCCCCUCCUUCUCCUUUCAAACGGAUCAGGAGUUUCACCGUGCCGCCAUUAUGCACUUCUCGACAGACUGUGAUACCAUCAUGUGAUUUAAAAUAAAAAUCAUCGUUUCACAGUUGGAAAAAUCUGCGUUGGCCAAGAAACCUGGAGGAGAGCAUAAUGUCAAGGAACACAACCGGACGAAAGGUGACUGAAACUGAGGUAAUUUAGAUAUCUCUUCUUCAAGCACAUCUGUUCUUCUACGAUUGUGGGAAAGAUAUAUAUAUAUAUAUAUUUAUUUUAGGGCUGUACUCAACUCAGAACUGUGUCUGUUAAAUUGGAUGUGGCUGUUCAAUAUGAAGAAUUGUUUGUUUGUACAAUUUCUGCCAGCAAGACUUGAGUCAUUUACUGGUUAAAAUAGUUAUUGUUAUUCAACUUAGAGACAACUUUCUAUCAUCUGCCAAGAUACUAAUAAAUUCCAAACAAGACCUUUACAAUAGAGUCAUGAGGGAUGUCAAUUUAAAAUAUUGUAUCUGUAACUAUAUGUUUUAAUAUCAAAUUUGAGUGCAGUUAGAUUUACACCUUGAGCAGAUAAAUUGAAAUAAAGGUAGAAAUCUGUGAAUCUCUCCUUUAAAAAUGUAAUUCAAACACCUGCUGGUAUAGAAGACUAUCUGUGGCAAAUCAAAAAUCCAAUAUUAAAUCUAACUGUAGUCAAAUUUGAUAUAACAUAUAGUUACAGAAUUAGUAUUUCAAAUAAAAAAUGACAACCCUAUGAUUUUAGUUUUUCUCAGUUUUCCCAGCAGCAGUACAAUGUCUGAAGGCAGCAGAUAAUCAGAAUAUUUAAAGCCAAAAUAACAUCCCAACUCUUUCAAUGGCCAAUCAGAUCUUAGUUUGAAUUGCUUGGUAGAUUGCAGAUGAUAGCGAAGUUUGUUCUAAGGUGAAAAGGACUUGAAUUGUACUCGGAUGUGUGUAUCCUCUAAAUGCACUGUAAACACACAGUUUUCAGUGUUUACAGACAUUGUUAAGAUUGUACUAUUCUAAAUAUACCAUGUCUUUUAAGAACAAUUUAUUUUUUCCAUCUUUGAAACUGAAAGUGAUGUUUAAUUGUUGCACAAUGUAGCACAAAUGGGAGUUACACUUGCAUCUCUAAACUGAUGAUGAAAAAUUGUAUGCAAACUAAUGUUUUUUUAUUUUUAAUAAAUUGUUAUUAAGAUAUGGA